GAUGAACGCUGGCGGCGUGCCUAAUACAUGCAAGUCGAGCGAACAGACGAGGAGCUUGCUCCUCUGACGUUAGCGGCGGACGGGUGAGUAACACGUGGAUAACCUACCUAUAAGACUGGGAUAACUUCGGGAAACCGGAGCUAAUACCGGAUAAUAUAUUGAACCGCAUGGUUCAAUAGUGAAAGACGGUUUUGCUGUCACUUAUAGAUGGAUCCGCGCCGCAUUAGCUAGUUGGUAAGGUAACGGCUUACCAAGGCAACGAUGCGUAGCCGCACUGAGAGGGUGAUCGGCCACACUGGAACUGAGACACGGUCCAGACUCCUACGGGAGGCAGCAGUAGGGAAUCUUCCGCAAUGGGCGAAAGCCUGACGGAGCAACGCCGCGUGAGUGAUGAAGGUCUUCGGAUCGUAAAACUCUGUUAUUAGGGAAGAACAAAUGUGUAAGUAACUAUGCACGUCUUGACGGUACCUAAUCAGAAAGCCACGGCUAACUACGUG
rnacentral:rRNA from 1 species